UACAGAGGUCUCAAGCGUUGUUCGGAUUCAUUGGGCGUAAAGGGUGCGUAGGCGGCGCGGUAAGUCGGGUGUGAAAUCUUGGAGCUUAACUCCGAAACUGCAUUCGAUACUGCCGUGCUUGAGGACUGGAGAGGAGACUGGAAUUUACGGUGUAGCGGUGAAAUGCGUAGAUAUUCGCAAGAACACCAGUGGCGAAGCGGCUCACUGGCCCGGUACUGACGCUGAGGUGCGAAAGCGUGGGGAGCAAACAGG
rnacentral:rRNA from 1 species